rnacentral:sRNA from 1 species
AAACGACCAAUUCCAAGCGCCGGAUGUCAGGGUAGAAAACCGGCCGCGUAGGACCCGCGCAUGACGGAGUCAAACGCCCCCUAGAGUCGUCCGGGCCUGCCCAUGUCG